rnacentral:rRNA from 1 species
UGGGGAAUUUUGGACAAUGGGCGAAAGCCUGAUCCAGCAAUGCCGCGGGUGUGAAGAAGGCCUUCGGGUUGUAAAGCACUUUUGUCCGGAAAAAAAUGGCUCUGGUUAAUACCUGGGGUCGAUGACGGUACCGGAAGAAUAAGGACCGGCUAACUACGUGCCAGCAGCCGCGGUAAUACGUAGGGUCCAAGCGUUAAUCGGAAUUACUGGGCGUAAAGCGUGCGCAGGCGGUUGUGCAAGACCGAUGUGAAAGCCCCGAGCUUAACUUGGGAAUUGCAUUGGUGACUGCACGGCUAGAGUGUGUCAGAGGGGGGUAGAAUUCCACGUGUAGCAGUGAAAUGCGUAGAGAUGUGGAGGAAUACCGAUGGCGAAGGCAGCCCCCUGGGAUAACACUGACGCUCAUGCACGAAAGCGUGGGGAGCAAACAGG